rnacentral:misc_RNA from 1 species
AACUUUUAACAACGGAUCACUUGGUUGUGGCAUCGAUGAAGAACGCAGCGAAAUGCGAUAAGUAAUGUGAAUUGCAGAAUUCAGUGAAUCAUCGAAUCUUUGAACGCACAUUGCGCCCCUUGGUAUUCCGAGGGGCAUGCCUGUUCGAGCGUCAUUAUAACCACUCAAGCCUAGCUUGGUAUUGGGGUUCGCGUGCUCGCGGCCCUUAAAAUCAGUGGCGGUGCCGUCUGGCUCUAAGCGUAGUAAUUCUCUCGCUAUAGAGUCCCGGCGGUUACCUGCCAGAACCCCCCACUUUUAAGGUUGACCUCGGAUCAGGUAGGGAUACCCGCUGAACUUAAGCAUAUCAAUAAGCGGAGGCU